AUACGGAAGGUCCAGGCGUUAUCCGGAUUUAUUGGGUUUAAAGGGAGCGCAGGCCGGUGUGUAAGCGUGACGUCAAAUACAGCCGCUCAACGGUUGUCCGCGUCGCGAACUGCACGCCUUGAGUACGCUGCAAGUGGGCGGAAUUCGUGGUGUAGCGGUGAAAUGCUUAGAUAUCACGAAGAACUCCGAUUGCGAAGGCAGCCCGCUGUUGCGUCACUGACGCUGAGGCUCGAAGGUGCGGGUAUCGAACAGGAUUAGAUACCCUGGUAGUCCGCACUGUAAACGAUGGACACCCGCUGUGUGGCCUUUUUUGGUUGCGCGGCCAAGCGAAAGCAUUAAGUGUCCCACCUGGGGAGUACGCCGGCAACGGUGAAACUUAAAGGAAUUGACGGGG
rnacentral:rRNA from 1 species